rnacentral:tRNA from 1 species
UAUUUUAUGAUGUAUGAUGCAUGAAGAUUUUUGAAAUCUUUAGAGAUAGUUUGAUUCUAUUUAAAAUAA